rnacentral:rRNA from 1 species
UACGUAGACGGUUGGAUAAGUCAGAUGUGAAAGCCCCGGGCUCAACCUGGGAAUGGCAUUUGAGACUGUUCAGCUAGGGUGCGGAAGAGGGAAGCGGAAUUUCCGGUGUAGCGGUGAAAUGCGUAGAUAUCGGAAGGAACACCAGUGGCGAAAGCGGCUUCCUGGUCCAGCACCGACGUUCAGGUACGAAAGCAUGGGGAGCAAACAGGAUUAGAUACCCUGGUAGUCCAUGCCAUAAAACGAUGAGGACUAGACGUUGAGAGGGUAAGCCUCGCAGUGUCGUAGCUAACGCGCUAAGUCCUCCGCCUGGGGAGUACGGCCGCAAGGUUGAA